rnacentral:lncRNA from 1 species
UCUAUUAUUACACGAAUAUGAUUACAAGGUCUCCGAUAUUACAAUGAAUAACAUAGGUACGGUGACACUACGCCAUCCUCAGUUGCUCUACGCAAGCAGCAGAACAAAACAAAGCAGCGGAAUAACUCUAGCAGCGGAACAACGGCGACGGUGGUGAACUCCACUCCGAAGGGACUCUGGCUGGAAUGCUUAUCCUAGCUCGCAUGAACGAAAACCACGACAAGCAAGCAAUCAAAUCCGGCAUGACCUGCAAACUGGCAUGACACGCCGGGUCAGUACAUUGAAUGUACUUGCAAGCUCAAAGUAAACCAGAAGCACUCAAGACAAACAACAGCAUGGCAAUUACAGGUUAAACAGAAAUUAUCAUGAUAUCAUUAGAAUAAUAUAACAUGGCAUGACCAACAUAAACAUGAUACAGCUAUCCCAACAAGAACAUAUUAAUCCGACAAUAACAGCAUGCAACAUGAAACCACUAUAUGCACCACUUAUCCUGCUCGGGCUACCUCGUAACCCACACAUGCAUCACUUACCAACCUCGGACAUCACACGAUCAUCUCAGGCUCAAAUCAAGCUUGGCAUAAACAAUACCAUAGCGACCAUUAAAUAACCACAACGAGCUUGAUCUUUACCCACGACUCUCGUACAACAUCAUGAAUAUACAACAUCUCGGUAUCAUCUAUACCAUCGUGAUCCUUACGGCGAUCACAACCACGACCAACACUUAGUCUCAAACUGUGAUCCUUACGGCGAUCACAACCCGACCAAUACAUGGCCCGUGAUCCUUACGGCGAUCACAACCCGACCACUACAUGGCCCGUGAUCCUUACGGCGAUCACCACCCGACUUAUCUCACUGUUAUUAAGCACAUUAUUUUUAUUACUGUUGACUCAUGGUGUGACCUUCUCUCGACCUGGGCUCUUAUUCGCGGGCGCGGCUAUCGAUAGAUUUAAUAUACACUCUACAGAGGUUAGUACACUAUAACCACACUACGGAACCCAUGUCCUCGCUCUCCCAUUCGUGUGGACCAACAGCGUUCCGACAAAACCGUUCAACUGCCAUGACACUCUCCCGGCCAUUCCGACUCACUGCUCACUAAGCUAAGUCAUGGGUGGCCCCAUGUCUACCUCCAGACACAACGACCACCAUCGUGGCCCGAUCCACUCUCGGACCCUUGCGCAAAAUCAAAUCAAAACUGGGCACAUAAGGUUAUGCUCUGCCUACCUGAUCAGGGUAGCACGCGCCCAUAACCUUCCCUCGUUGGAGGCACCGGUGAGAGGCACGAUAAUAGACCCAGUUAGGACCGUACCAUACCGGUAAGCGUGGUUGCACCGGUGAGCAUCGAUUCAGCGGCACCAUGACUCAGCCAACAAUUGUUCAAGUUCAAUUUAAUCCGGUUAAACUUGAAUGCAAAAAUGUUGAGCCAUGAUAAAAUAACAUGAUUCCAACUAUAAUACUUGAACAUGGUAUCAACAUCAUCAUGAGAGUAUCACAUAACUUUCCACCAUAUCAACAAUAAAUCAUAUCCACUGAGCAUCGCAUACUGACUAGAAUGACCAUCUCCAACAUCAACAUGUACUAGCAACCAGCAUAAUCAUAUGAAAGGUAAUACUAGCAGGUAUAACAUGAUCACAGAGUACAAAACAACAUAGCACAAAAGUGAACAUGCAAAUCUGAACAUUACCGGAACAACGACAACCAUCUUUCAACACGCAAACAUUUAUUAAAUAUUCAAUUUGAAAACCAUGGCUACUGCAUGACUAUCAUGCAAGUGGGUAUUGUGGCUUGCCUGGGGAUGAAGAAGACACCAGGGAGAAGUGCGGUGAAGCCGUAGAAAGAAUCGCCGGAAACAGUUCUCUCUCGGAGGGGGCUGUUUACGUGCAAGGACAAAAGGACAUUUCCAGUAUGUCAAACCAUAAUGAAAAUGAUACUAGCAGAAAAGCCUCGACGAGACGAAGAGGUGAGCGUUGGUUUCACCUUAAACGGAGUUACGGAUAAAAAGUUAUAUGGGUUUUACUGCCAAGGACCUAUCUGUAAAAAUUUAUUUUACAGACCGGGCCAAAACAGAAAACUGGAAAGCGUAUUCAGCGGUUUACGUCUCCACUUAUCCAGCGUGGCAGUGGCAGGGCCGGGGCUGGUCAACGCCUGAGAGACUGACGGGUGGGUCCCACCUUAUCCACUCCCUCUCCUUUCUUCUCUUCUUCCUCUCUCCUUCCUCCCGACCAGAACAGGCAGAGGCGAGGCCGCGCACUCCGGCGACUCGCCCGGCCAACUCCGGCCAUCUCCGACGAGGAAGAAGCCACCGGUGGACUUGGGAGGAGGCACCGCAUCCAUCCCUGGGCAGAGGGAGCACCGGGGAGGGGCGUGGACGCGGCACCGCGCGGUGGCAGGAGCUGCAGAUGGCGGCGGCUGAGAUUUGGGGACGGCGGCCUGAAGCACUCCGGAGAGGAAUGAAGGGCUGGGGAGGGUCGCCGAAGCAUGGGGAAGACGUAGGUGGUGGUUAGAGGUGGAGGGGGGCUUGGCUUCGGCCGAAUUUGAGCGGACCCGAACGGCGGCCAUGGCGGCAAUGGCGGGCAGGGAGAGCGUCUCGAGCUCGGGGAAGAGCUUAGGCGGGGCUAGAGGAGAGCGGGGAGGCCAGUGGAGUGCUCGGAGAGGCUCGGGGAUGGCUUAAAUAGCCGCCGGCGAGGAAGGCCGAGCUGGCACCGCCGCACCGCGAACGCGUGUGCUCGUGCAUGGACUCGGGGCAUACGACGAGGGGGGGGAGCAGGAGAGAGCUCACGAGGAGGAGGAGGACAAAGGAGGAUCAGAAGAAGAGGCCGAGCGCCAUGAAAACAUGUCGGAGCACUGUGCUCCCAUGGGCGCUCGUCGGCGAGCGUCGGUGAGCUACAUUCCGGUGGGGGAGAGGGGUUCAUUGGAGCGGAUACGACGAGAUCUACCUACUGGACAUGCUCACGGGCGCGAAGACAGCGAGAGGGGGAGGGGCCCGAGCACAAACGGCCACUGGACGCGCUCAUGGCAUGCCAAAACGGUGGUCACCACCAAUGCUGGCAUGUCCGUGAGGCAAACAGAUGGAAAACGUUGUCUCGUGGUAAGUCCUUCGAAGAUGGGGUUGAGCGGAGGUGUAAGCAAGGUUAAAAAGGCUCUGGUUAAAAAGUUAGUGAGCUCUGAAAUUUACUGCAGUAAACUUCACCAGCUCAAUGUGGUCAACAGGGAUAUGAUUGGGGCCAAAGAGGUUGUCUGGGGUGUUUAGGAUAGGAAGGAAAUACAUCAUGGUAACUAUGGAUGGGUUUGGAUCAAGAUUUAACAGAGUUGUUUGCAACUGUCAAAUAGGGUCCAGAAACUAGAUCAUGAUGGUGCACUCACAUGGAGUGUCAACUUGAGCUAAGAUUGGGCAAGGCUUAGCCAUUUGGUCAUAUUAGAAUGCUCACCAAGUAUCAUACCAUUUGGCAAAGCCAAAAUGGUACUUGCUUUACAAACAUCUUUGCUGAACAAAAACUUGAAAUAAUUAUGGUGAUCAAAUGGAUCAAUGAAAUAAUGCCAAAUUGGGUGGAGAGAUGUUUUAUGGGUAUAAUAAUGAUAUGGUAAUUUAUUAGGAGUUUUGAAGCAAUAUAAUAUAUACUUGCUUCACAACUUGAAAAUGUUGCCAGAAUCAAAGAUUUGCUCCUGUGCUCACAUAGAUGAUUGGAUGGGGAUGAAAAUGUGUGGAAGGGGUUAAUAUGAGCACAUUAAAUAGUGUGCAAAAGUUCAACUCAUUUGGGUACUCCUGGCUAGUACUUCCUUCACAAAGCUUUCUGUCUGACAGAAACUUUGAAAUUUCACUGAGGAAGAUUGGCUAGGCAAAUAAUUUUGAACUUGUUCAUGGGGAAACUAUUUGGACAUAUAAACAUUCCCAAAAAUUUUAAGAGUCAAUAGGAUAAAUAUAAAUGACACUUCCUUCACAAAGUGCCAUUAAGGGCAGAAUAGGAAAUGAAUUAUUGGAGGAUUAUUUUUGAACAUGGCAAUGAAAUUUUUUGCCAUAUUUGAUCAAGAUAUGGCGCAAAAAAAAAUUAUGACAAUUAUUUGGGAAUUUUUGGAGUGAGGUAAAUAUAGGUUGCUUCACAACCUAGGGCAAUUUGAGUUAUUCCUUUAAUGGAAAAGGAAUAUUCCCAAUAAAAAGAAUAUUGGGAUUUGGUCCAAGGUGGAAAUGUCAGGGUAUAGGGAAGGAUUUGGAUAUGGCAAGCCACUCUGGAAGCAAAGAAAAGGGCAUCUUCUUUAGUUUCUAGACCACUAAGCCACGGAAAAAGAAAACUCAGGCAAAAACCUCGGAAAAACAAAAGAAAAAGAAAGGGCAAAAAAUCAGGCUGUGACAAACCUUACCCCCUUAAAAAAUCUUGUCCUCGCGAUUUGGUUGCUCAGGGAACAAGUAUGAAUAUUCUGACUUAAGGAAACCGUUUCCAACUCGGGUAUCCUUUUUCCUUUGUUGUUGUUCCCACUAAAUUUUUAUCUGACUGGCCCUGGGGUGGUUUGAUUCACUGUAUCCUCAUUCUGACAGAUCUUACCUUGCUUGUUCAUGCUUAUAUAGGCUCCAAUUUCUUUUUAGAUCUGCUGACUAGCUGAGUGUGAUUUGAUUAUCACGACUGAAAUACAUGUCCGUCUCACAAAUCCAAUAGUGAUUUCUGCUGGGUGUGCCACCCGGCGCUGACAACCUUUCAUGUAAUGAUGAUCAGAAUUUUCUGAUGAAAAUUCAAGCUCUGACUCAUUGCAUUGGGUUUCUCCACUAAAUGCAGGUCCUUUGGGUUCCAAACGGUGAAUUAAAACAUAACCAUUUCCUGAUAGAUUCUGACUCAUCUCAAAAGUUUCUGAAUUAUCUUAACCGGUUCCACUGUCGUGAGUAUCGGGUCCGUACUGAAUAUUUGAUUGUCUCCUGUCACGGCCAGCAUAAAGGGGUUGGCAUGUAUGAUAAUAUCUGCGGACUUGACUGACGCUGGCUCUGACAGAAAUUUUUUGUUCAUGACAGGCUAUCCAUGAUGAUUCAUAUAAGUGAGGACUCAGGCUUCCAAACUGAUAUUCCUUGUGCCAAUUACUCAUGCUGUAGGCAUAUCCAUGUGGAUCAAUACUGACUUAGACUGUCCAGGGAUCUGCACCAUGGGGGUCAUAUACAAUUUUCAUACCUGCAUCACUGGUCGUGCUCCUUCAUUAUUGCUUUCUCGGUCCGGAUCUUUGGCUGAAAGAGCCGGGCCAUAUUGUUUCUUCGUAUGACCAUAGGUACCGUCGAUGCAAUUUUUCGGCAAUUGUAGUUUAUCCUCAUUUUUCUGAUAAGGUAUCCCAUUAAAUGGCAGGUUCAAUACCUCUCAAGUUCUGAUCGUUAAGAAAUGAUCAUCUGAAACCCUUGCAAGAAAUCGGCAAAUAAAUCAGUAGCCACCAGAACGGUCUUUACAACUCAGAUCUGGGACAUUACUAAAAUAACUCAACCACGGCUCAAGACAGCCAAAAAUAGCUUAGAGCAUGAGACCGGGUCGAUAAGAAGAAGGUCGCAGCUCCCUAAAAUAGCCAAAAAGCAGCUAUAGGGCUACUAUCACAAAAAUAAACUCAACAGUUGUACGAGACGGCCAAAAAGUAGCUCAGACUCAUGGCAGUCGAUGAAGAGAGAAAUAAAAAUUGGCAUCCACCCUGGAUAGCUAGAAACAGCUCAGAUCACAGGCGUGGUGCCAUCAUUGGAGGAAAAGGGACAAGGGCUCAUCAGGAUCAUUUUCCAGGUUCACAAGCACUUGUACUGAGCUCACUGAGGUCGUCAAUCCUUAUAAUCCCUUGUCACAUCGCGGAGUAUGCAGGCUUUCUUCUAUUAACCAUCCUCACGUGUUUAUCAGAUCCUCAUCCGAGUGACUUGUAAGGUCUUGAUGGUAUGCUCAUUGCAUAUAUAUGAGGACCUGGCUUCGAGACAGACGUGUAUUCUGACUGACUCUUGAUUCUGACCAAAAUGUUGCCGAUCUGAUUCUUGGGAUUUACUUCCAUAUGCUGUCAAUUCACAGCGUACUACCUCAUACCAAUGUCUUACUGGGGAAUAUUUGUUGGCUUGUGCUCGAAACUUUCAUCAGACAGCUUGCUGAAGAAGACUGAGUAUCGUGCUUCAGAAGCUUACCCCCUUAAAGAAUUUGCUGGGGAAGGACUCAGUACCUUAUGCUGGAAGCUUUUGCGGUUGCUUACUGAAAAAGGCAGAAUACCUUGCGCGAGAAGUCAUCCAUGUGUCGUACUGAGGAAGAUAGAUGAAUCUUUGCUUGGAAACUUCUCUGGUAUUUUGCGAGGGAAAAGUGUAUUGCUUACACCAGAAGCUUCUUAUUGUGAUAUGCGGACUGAUUUCCACAUAUAUAACCAUCUGAAUAUUUCUGAUGUUGAUUUCUUGCAUGAAACGGGGUUUUGCAGGACUAUCCUCCUUUCUGAGUAUAUGCCCUAUUUUUGCUUGCUUCCAGGUACAUCGAGUUCCAAAAUCAUCCUCAAUGAAAAAUUAAACUUGUAUCUGAGCCAUACCUUUGAUAAUAUUCUGUCAACCUUGCACACAAUUUAUCUUCUUGUUGAUUUGAUCAUUUUGUUGUGAUGAGUGCACGCAAAUGCAAACUUGAUACUAACGGUCCAUCCAGGAUUUCUUCUGUAUUCAGACAAGAUAUUCCAAUUUUCAUUGCAGUCAGCUGAUAAUUCCAUUCUGUUUAGAUGAGUUUCCAAAUAUAAGCAUUUCUUGCUCACUCUUCGGGUCCAGUGUCGGCUGACGAGCAACUUUAAUAGGGGAAAAAUUUGUAACACUGAAGGCCCAAAGAAAGGAACAACAGAAAUGACAAAAACAAAAGCACACAAGCAUUCUACUAAUAUAAUUAAUCAAGCAAUCAUCACAUAUUACUGCUACUCACACAAUAAUAUGCAUGCACACCUAAGCACACAAAUUUCACGGAAUCUCUGGUAUGACGGUCUAAUAUGCUGUGACGAUGUGCACGAGGACAAAUAAAUGUGUGGAAGAAUUGGUGUAAAUAGCGCUACACCAAGUGCUAGCUUAGCCAGGUGGCAACCUGAACUAGCUCAGAGGCGAGGACGCACUCGGUAAUCAUGUAGUGGGACACGAAGGUCGCAACCACAUUAUUAUCAAGCGGAUGGAGAAAGAUCAGUACUCGUCCAAGAAAUAGGAUAGCGGGGAAAAGCUGAGGCUGCUGACAUUGCCCUUUCUUGAUAACUAAGAUCAUUAAGGGUUGCCAACACGACAAAAAGAACGAUCCAGGAUAGAUACAUGUCCAUCACCGAAACGAUAGACGGGACUGAAGGAAAGACAUCGGUGUGAUACCUGAGCACCAUUUUUGCAAAUAGUGUCGGGAUCACUUGGCAUCACUCUGCUGGGACAGAAAUGGCACCAAACACUGAAAGGAAAAGGAACUAGAGAAAUGCAAAGGUUGAGCUGUAGUGGAUCCGAACCGAUGCCAACUACACUCACCAGAUAAACCGUUAGUACAAAUACUAAAGCUAUAUGCAUGCUAUGCGACAAACAAAUGCAGCAAUCAAGUGCAACAAACCAACUAGGGUCUAUACUACCGCUUUCUAACGUUCGCGCGGUCUAGGGCAUCCUACAGCCAGACCUGCUCUGAUACCAAGCCUGUGGCACCCCGGCCCAGAGAAAACCGGAACGCCCCGUAUUCUAGCCCAGAGAUCGAGGAGAAGUCUUCUGGAAUACAGCACUGCUUAGCAUAGAACAAACCAGCCUUCUAUUAUUACACGAAUAUGAUUACAAGGUCUCCGAUAUUACAAUGAAUAACAUCGGUACGGUGACACUACGCCAUCCUCAGUUGCUCUACACAAGCAGCAGAACAAAACGAAGCAGCGGAAUAACUCUAGCAGCGGAACAACGGCGAUGGUGGUGAACUCCACUCCGCAGGGACUCUGGCUGGAACGCUUAUCCUAGCUCGCAUGAACGAAAACCACGACAAGCAAGCAAUCAAAUCCGGCAUGACCUGCAAACUGGCAUGACACGCCGGGUCAGUACAUUGAAUAUACUUGCAAGCUCACAGUAAACCAGAAGCACUCAAGACAAACAACAACAUGGCAAUUACAGGUUAAAUAGGAAUUAUCAUGAUAUCAUCAGAAUAAUAUAACAUGGCAUGACCAACAUAAACAUGAUACAGCUAUCCCAACAUGAACAUAUUAAUCCGACAAUAAUAGCAUGCAACAUGAAACCACUAUAUGCACCACUUAUCCUGCUUGGGCUACCUCGUAACCCACACAUGCAUCACUUACCAACCUCGGACAUCACACGAUCAUCUCAGGCUCAAAUCAAGCUUGGCAUAAACAAUACCGUAGCAACCAUUAAAUAACCACAACGAGCUUGAUCUUUACCCACGACUCUCGUACAACAUCAC